UGGGGAAUAUUGCACAAUGGGCGCAAGCCUGAUGCAGCGACGCCGCGUGAAGGAAGAAGGUCUUCGGAUUGUAAACUUCUAUCAGCAGGGAAGAAUAAAUGACGGUACCUGACUAAGAAGCCCCGGCUAACUACGUGCCAGCAGCCGCGGUAAUACGUAGGGGGCAAGCGUUAUCCGGAAUUACUGGGUGUAAAGGGUGCGUAGGCGGCUUGGUAAGUCGGGAGUGAAAUUUAGGGGCUCAACCCCUAGGGUGCUCUCGAAACUACUGAGCUAGAGUAUAGGAGAGGAAAGUGGAAUUCCACGUGUAGCGGUGAAAUGCGUAGAGAUGUGGAGGAACACCAGUAGCGAAGGCGACUUUCUGGACUAUUACUGACGCUGAGGCACGAAAGCGUGGGGAGCAAACAGG
rnacentral:rRNA from 1 species